UGGGAGGGCUUCAGCCGGAAAUUGACAGCAUUAUCAGACGCGUGCUCGAUGGAAGAGCUGUGG
rnacentral:tRNA from 1 species